GACGAACGCUGGCGGCGUGCUUAACACAUGCAAGUCGAACGGAAAGGCCCUGCUUUUGUGGGGUGCUCGAGUGGCGAACGGGUGAGUAACACGUGAGUAACCUGCCCUUGCCUUUGGGAUAACUUCAGGAAACUGGGGCUAAUACCGGAUAGGAGCUCCUGCUGCAUGGUGGGGGUUGGAAAGUUUCGGCGGUUGGGGAUGGACUCGCGGCUUAUCAGCUUGUUGGUGGGGUAGUGGCUUACCAAGGCUUUGACGGGUAGCCGGCCUGAGAGGGUGACCGGCCACCUUGGGCCUGAGAUACGGACCAGACGCCUACGGGAGGCAGCAGUGGGGAAUCUGGCACAACGGGCGGAAGCCUGAUGCAGCAACGCCGGGUGCGGGAUGACGGCCUGCGGGGUGUAAACCGCUUGCGCCUGUGACGAAGCGUGAGUGACGGUAAUGGGUAAAGAAGCACCGGCUAACUACGUG
rnacentral:rRNA from 1 species